rnacentral:rRNA from 1 species
AUUGAACGCUGGCGGCAUGCUUUACACAUGCAAGUCGAACGGUAACAGCACUUCGGUGGCUGACGAGUGGCGAACGGGUGAGUAAUACAUCGGAACGUGCCUAGUAGUGGGGGAUAACUACUCGAAAGAGUAGCUAAUACCGCAUGAGAUCUAAGGAUGAAAGCAGGGGACCCUCGGGCCUUGCGCUCCUAGAGCGGCUGAUGGCAGAUUAGGUAGUUGGUGGGAUAAAAGCUUACCAAGCCGACGAUCUGUAGCUGGUCUGAGAGGACGACCAGCCACACUGGGACUGAGACACGGCCCAGACUCCUACGGGAGGCAGCAGUGGGGAAUUUUGGACAAUGGGCGCAAGCCUGAUCCAGCAAUGCCGCGUGCAGGAUGAAGGCCUUCGGGUUGUAAACUGCUUUUGUACGGAACGAAAAGCCCUCUUCUAAUACAGGAGGGUCAUGACGGUACCGUAAGAAUAAGCACCGGCUAACUACGUG